AUUGAACGCUGGCGGCAGGCCUAACACAUGCAAGUCGAGCGGAUGAGGGGAGCUUGCUCCCUGAUUUAGCGGCGGACGGGUGAGUAAUGCCUAGGAAUCUGCCUGGUAGUGGGGGAUAACGUUCCGAAAGGAACGCUAAUACCGCAUACGUCCUACGGGAGAAAGCAGGGGACCUUCGGUCCUUGCGCUAUCAGAUGAGCCUAGGUCGGAUUAGCUAGUUGGUGAGGUAAUGGCUCACCAAGGCGACGAUCCGUAACUGGUCUGAGAGGAUGAUCAGUCACACUGGAACUGAGACACGGUCCAGACUCCUACGGGAGGCAGCAGUGGGGAAUAUUGGACAAUGGGCGAAAGCCUGAUCCAGCCAUGCCGCGUGUGUGAAGAAGGUCUUCGGAUUGUAAAGCACUUUAAGUUGGGAGGAAGGGCUGCUGGUUAAUACCCUGCAGUUUUGACGUUACCAACAGAAUAAGCACCGGCUAACUUCGUG
rnacentral:rRNA from 1 species